rnacentral:rRNA from 1 species
GAUGAACGCUGGCGGCGUGCCUAAUACAUGCAAGUAGAACGCUGAAGGAAGGAGCUUGCUCUUUCCGGAUGAGUUGCGAACGGGUGAGUAACGCGUAGGUAACCUGCCUGGUAGCGGGGGAUAACUAUUGGAAACGAUAGCUAAUACCGCAUAACAGUAGAUAUCGCAUGAUAUGUGCUUGAAAGAUGCAAUUGCAUCACUACCAGAUGGACCUGCGUUGUAUUAGCUAGUUGGUGAGGUAACGGCUCACCAAGGCAACGAUACAUAGCCGACCUGAGAGGGUGAUCGGCCACACUGGGACUGAGACACGGCCCAGACUCCUACGGGAGGCAGCAGUAGGGAAUCUUCGGCAAUGGACGGAAGUCUGACCGAGCAACGCCGCGUGAGUGAAGAAGGUUUUCGGAUCGUAAAGCUCUGUUGUAAGAGAAGGACGAGUGUGAGAGUGGAAAGUUCAC